GGGAUAAAGAAUUGUGGAAGAGCACUGGACAUUGAGUGAUAUUUUGCCACGCUGGGACUUAAUCUGAAAGAAAAGACUGUAAAGAAACAGAGAAGAAGACAGCAGCUGAGUUGAGACUGUGUUUGCUGGAGCUUUGAAGCCCGAAUAGGACAUUGUGCAGAGAGGACCAGUGAGAGAUGAAGCUGGACGAGUUUGACUGUGAGAAUAUAGGAUAUAAUUGGAUUGAAAAUUGAAGCCUGAACUCAUGAAUUGUUUAGGGAUGUCCACUACAGCAUAACAAAGAGGUAAACAUUAGAAAAGAGUUGAUGUUCUAUCCAAGAGGGUUUUAAGCUUCACUGGUGAGAGUGUCCAGGUGAUACAUGUUGAGGGAAGAUGAGAACAUAGCAGGUGAAUUGCAUGCACGCUUACAAACACACAUGAUUUAAAUAUAGGCCAGGCCAAAGGCCUGGACUUGAUGCAGCUUUCAACUUUACAGCUCCUAACUUGCAGGAAUGGCGGGGAGUGUAAUGAAUGAAUGCAAAACAUGCUUACAGACACAAACAUGACAGGGGUUUAUUUUACAGGGUAAAGGUGGACCACAGGUUGCUUUGUUUCUGCUUAGCAACUACUGAGGUAAAUGGUGUUAAAGAUAAAUAUGCAAUAAGUGAACAAGAAAUGUGUGAGGGUGAGCCGGGUGAAACAAAAUGUUGUAGAUAAUGGAAACUUGUCUAACGGGCAUUAACAGUAACCUUUGCAUGUUAUGUAUAUGCUUGAGGCCAAAGGAGGCAUAAAUCCAGAUAGAAAACUUUGAAGUGUG
ensembl:lncRNA